AGAGAAUGUCGGGAGAGGAAGUGGCGGCUGUGAGUCAGCAUGAGUCAUCUCGUUCCAAUGAGAAUGAAGACUGAGGUGUGCGCCUUUUUUUUUUUUUCUUCUUCUUUUUUUUUUUUUUUUGGUCUCAAUCGUGGGGACAUCAUUGGGAAUGGAGGGAAAUCAGUGACUGUAUGGUUGUUGCUUUUUAAGUUUCCAACUGGCGUUCCAGGCAAGCCGUGCCUGAGCCGGUGUCUGCCGUGAGAUCUUCAGAGCAUGGUUCCUGGGAAGGUAGAACCAUUAGCUUCUCCCUGCCUUAGUAGCCUUGGCACAACAUCAGGCCUUUUCAGAUCUAAGAAAUGGGUGGCACAACUUCAGUCGGGAACACCUAAAUGGAGGACAGAGAAAGGCAGAGAACCCGAAGUGACUGAAGGAAAUCCCUGAGAACAGCCGAGUGAAUAACUGGGAGAUGAAACAGGAAGCUCUAUGACACACUUGAUCGAAAAUGACACAGACGUAGAAAAAUCAGGACUCCAGCACCUCUACCUGCUGUCGGCUGCUGGAAGGCAGGUGACAGCUUUGCCCUGGGACCUGAUUCUAGCUGCCGUGGACUCCAAGGGCCUCCGCAUUCGCUGAUGAUGUGUCUGCGAUAUUGAGGUCGUGGUCUAGUCUGGUCGGUUUCCUAUUUAUCUGGCGAGUCUCUAUGUGUCUUAAUCCCUUUUCCUCCAUUAAAAGCAAAACUAAAGAAAAAUGAAUUGUUUGUUAUUAGCUAUAUUUAAACACUAAUUUAAAGGAUACCAAAUGGCCUUUGAGAUUAAUUUCUACAGGACCACAAGUAAGCCCUACCAUAACCCCACUGGUCAUGAUGACAUCUUUAGAAGAGUGUUGAACUUGAAUCUCUUAUUACUCAGCCUUGCUUGCCCUGCUUUUCCUUCUCCCCCUCUAGAAGACCUCUAGAAGACCUCCCAGUCUGUCCCCAGCACCUGGUACUGGGUCAGUAAUGGCAUAUUGACAUUUAAGAGAAAACACUGGAAGACAUUUGGAAGUCUCUUUCCACACCCACUCUGAUCAUGGCCUCCAAAUGGUGAUCUCAAAAUCGUCACCAACCUGAGCUUUCUACUGGAGACCUCGGUCUUCUCAGCUGCUCUUUCCUUCCCUCCACACAUCAGUUACCCAUUCACUUCUUCAUUCCGCACAGGUUCUUUUGGG
rnacentral:lncRNA from 1 species